UCGGACUGUGCGGUUGUGCUCCGUGGCCUCGUCUGUGUUGGAAUUUGUGUGAAUUGUCUGUAUCCCCAGCACCAUCUGUCUGACCCAGGGCAGGUCCUCAACAACCAUUUGCUGAUAAGCCAAAGGAAGAGCAAAGGUGUGAAUACCUGCCACGCUUUUGUCUGGAAAAAUAGCAGGCAAGGCACACCUGACAAGGCCUUUUGCACUGAACGUUAUAAAUAUAUUGUAAUGCCAAGACAUUUUUUUCUUCUUCACAUCUUAGUGUCUCUGAAAUCACAGAUAUCUUAGUCAGUGUGUAAUGGUGGGUGAGGGCACAGCCCUGGAGCUGGACUGCCUGGGUCUGAAUCCCAGGUCUGCCACUUACACACUUAUUUGUGUGAAUCUGGGCGUGUUACUUACCUUUCUGUGUCUCAGUUUACUGGUCUGUAAAAUGGGGAUGAUAACAGCAGUUCGUACUUCAUGGGGUUGUUGUGAGAAUUCAGUGAACCCUUAUAUGUGCAGCGCUUAGAAUACCACCAGGCACAUAGUAGCAAGAGAUAUGAGCGUUAGCUAUUAUCAGUAUCAUAAAUGGCUACAUAUGCACUUAAUAUACUGUUGUUUCUUUUUAACCCUGACAUGCUGUUUUAGUCCACUGGAGUACAGCUUACAUGGAUAGCAUCUCGUGUCGGUGUCUGUGGACUGGUCCCAUUAUAUGUGCUGCGGUCCCACACCAUCUCCCGCCCACACCAGUUUUCUGGUUGCUGCACCAAAACAUGCACGGUACACAGAGAGGAAACCAGCAGGCGUUGUUUUUUCUUCUUCAUGUGGCAGAGGAGUCAGAGGGAACAGACAGGGCCCUGUAUAGAUAAGGCUCCUUUCAGAACUUCAACGUAACUUCUUGCAUGCUCUGAAGCUUAGACCGGGCAACUUUACUUUGAUGAUUUUCAAGGAAGCUGGGCUACGAAGUGGCAGAAGUCUCUAGGAAGCAGGAUGUCAGUGCCUCUGGGGAAACAGCUCUUUUUUACCGGCGUGGCGGCUAGCGGGGGCUGCGCCCUUUUGUACUACCUGAUACAGAAAACUUUUUCCAGGGCUUCCUAUUACCAGUUGGCGUUGGAGCAUCUGCACAGCCACCCUGAGGCACUGGAAGCUCUGGGCACUCCUCUCAACGUUCACUAUCUCCGACUCACCGACAAGUACAACUUUGUGGACAUUGCUGAUGCAAAGUUGAAGAUUCCUGUCUCUGGACCCAAGUCAGAGGGCUAUCUCUAUGUCACCUCAUCCAGAGAUGCCCCCUUUAAGAGGUGGAACCUUCAGGAGGUCUUCUUAGAGCUCAAGGAUGGCCAGCAGAUUCCCCUGUUCAAGCCCAGUGGGGAGAACAGCAAUGAGCUGAAAAAGGAGUGAAGUGUUUGCUGGAUUUUUUCUUGCUGUGGCCAAGCCACAGAAAACCAGGGCCUGAGUGGACCAUCUGUUCUGAAGUAAAAGCAAGUACAUUUCUCUCACAAGUUAUUAGAAAACUGGUCACUUUACAGUAAUGGAGACAACCGAGAGAGAAUAAUUUUCAUGAAAACCGAUCAGUGUAUUGAAACUAAGAGAACAUUUUUAUGUAAAAAUGUUGUUAUACUAUUGCUGAUGACAUAUUUAGUAAAAAUAGUUUAGUUUUAGUAGAUAAAACUCACUUGUUUUAAUAAAAACGGUAAGAAUGAAUGCAAAGUCCUAAGAUUAUUCUGCCAUGUAAAAUGAACUGCUCCCCAAAGGACUGUGUCAGUAUUGGUUUGAAAUAGGAAAUAUCUCCUAUUUAGAAUAUGUUUAGAUUACAAGAGCCUGGCAGGGGGGUUGGCAAACUUAUUCUGUAAAGGGCCAGAGAGUAACUAUUUUAGGCUGAUUAGGCCAUAAGAUCUCUGUUGCAACUACUCAACCCUGCGGGUUUUCCCAUGAAAGCGGCUGUAGACAAAUGUAAAUGAACAGGCUGUGUUCCAAGAAAGCUUCAUUUACCAAACACGCCACAAGGGCAUAAUGUGCUGACCUCUGUACCAGCCUAAUCUCAGGUUACCUAUCCUCCAGUCAUUAACAAAAAUUCAUCCACAAUCAAGCUACACAAAACUAAUUUUAAAAAAAUGAUUGUUUAUGGACAUUAAUAUGUAGCCCAAGGUAGACUCCACUGAGGUUAAAGCCCUGGAAAGCUCAACGAUUCUAUCCUCUGUUUUGCCGGCAGCUGCUAAGAUCCUGGGCAAACCACAUAUUCCCUCUGAGAUUCUAUUACCUCCUCUCUACUUUGAGAGAAUUAGGAGGGAUGUUAUUCCUUCCCAAUUUUGUUACCAUGAAUUUCAAUUCAGCAGACUUACUUCCACUCUUACCAACAAAACUUUAGACCGAGACUUUAAAUGAAGAGCUUCAAAAGAAAAUGACACUCAUUUUUAUUUGAAUAAUUUAUAACAUAGGUCUGAUGAAGCACAGUGAGCUAAAACUGACCACUGGAGGAUUAGGAAUGUCAAAAACCAAAACUGAAAAACAGAGAGUAUCCAAAACAAUAGCAUCAAAUAACAAAAUACACAGGGAUAAAGUUCGCAAAGGAUGUACGAGGACUCUACACUGGAAAAUAUAACACGAUGCCGAGAAAAAUUGAAAUAAACGAACGGGAAUACACACUAUGUUCACAGCCUGGGAGAACUGUUAAAAAGUCAAAUUGAUUGACAGAUGAAUCGCAAACAAAAUCCCACGAGGCUUUUUUAGGGGGUGAUUUUGGUAGAAGUUGACAAACCAACGCUAAAAUUUCUUCAGAAAUGCCAAGGACCUAGAAUAAACAACAGUCUGAAAAAUGAAGGAAUUGGAAGUCCUACUGUACUUGACAUCAGGACUUACAAAGUUCUGACAAAAAGAUAAGCAAAUAAAUUAAUGAAACAGAAGAGUGUGCAGAAGUAGAUCCACAGACAUACGGUCAGAUGAUUUGAGACAAGGACAGCAAAACAGUUCAAUGCGGAAAGGAAAAUUGGUCUGACAAAUGGUGCUGGAACAACUACAUAUUCAUACGGAAAACAAGGACACUUGACCCUACCUAACACCAAAGGGGACAAAAGUGUAAAGUGGAUUGCAGGCCUGAACAUAAAAGUUAAAACUAUAAAGCUUAAAAAAAACCUUCGUGACUUUGGGGUAGGUAAGGACUUCUUAAAGAGGAUACAGAAAGUAUUAACCAUAUAAAACAAAAAUUGAUGAAUUGGACUUCAUCGAAAUUACAGCUACCUUCUCAUCAAAAGACACUGUUGAGAAAACAGACAACCCACAGUCGGAAAAAAAUAUCUGUAACAUGUAAAUCCUAUAAAGGACUUGUAUCCAGAAUAUAUAAAAGAUUAUCACAACUCACUAUCCAAUUAAUAAAAAGGGAGAAAAAGGACGACACAAAAAAGGUUCAACAAACACAUGAAAUAGUGUUUGUUCCUCAUUAAUCAUCAGGGAAUAGCAAAUUAAACCACCUUGUGAUACCACCACAUACCCAUGAGAGUGGCUAAAAUAAAAAAGAUGGCCAACACUAAAUGUGAAGCAAUGAGAACUUGCAUAUAUUGCUGGCAGGAAUGGCAAACAGUACAAUCGCUUUAGAAAUGGUUGGGCAUUUUCUUAAAAAGUUACAUAUCCAUCUAUCCCGUGGCCUAGAAAUUCUACUCCUGUUUAAUCUAAGAGAAAUGAAAACGUGUCCACAGAAAAUCCCUGGACAAGAAUAUCUGAACUUCCCUGGUGGCGCAGUGGUUAAGAAUCCACCUGCCAAUGCAGGGGACACAGGUUCAAGCCCUGGUCCGGGAAGAUCCCACAUGCCGCCGAGCAGCUAAGCCCGUGCGCCACAACUACUGAGCCCGUGAGCCACAACUACUGAGCUUGCGCACCACAACUACUGAAGCCUGCGUGCUCUAGGGCCCACAUGCCGCAACUACUGAGCCCGUGCUCCGCAACAAAAGAAGCCACUGCAAUGAGAAGCCCGCGCACCGCAACUAGAGAAAAGCCCGCAUGCAGCAGCAGCAAUGAACACUCAAUGCAGCCCAAAAAAAAAAAAAAAAAAAAAAAACACCAAACAAAAACAACAGAAAAAAGAA